CAGUAUAUAGUUUAUUUUUAAAAUAUAAUAUUUGGGUUAUUAAGAAGAAUUUUACUGA
rnacentral:tRNA from 1 species